GAAUUCCAAAACCUAGGUUGAUCUUCAAACAAAGAUAACUUUUGAUCCGGAGCUCCGAUUGACGAACCGUUUGUAACUACGCGUUCACCACGACGAGCUCUACGAAACCCAUGAAACAAUUUUGUAGGUUUAAGUUAGCUACCGGAACUUAUGGGUUCAAGCUAUUGAGUAUAUGUGUAUGGAAUAUUUGGAGGCUUGUUGGUGAUCAAAGCUUAGUUUGUGGCUGUUUUACUUGAGCUUGGAGGGGCUGUAAUUUUGUGUUGAGAGGCUGCCUUGGGUGAAUUAAGUGAUCGGCCAAGAUGCAGGUCGAGAGGCUCUUCGCUAGGCGUUUGGAUCCUGGAGCGGAGUAGUCCUUGGGUUAUUUUGGGUUUUAUGAUUGUAUAUAUAUGUACCUAUGUACUUAGCUUGCUCUCCAAGAAACUUGCUUAUUAUGUUCCUCAUAGAGGUUACAUAAGAGUUAGGACUUUAUUUCUGUAUUUUGGGUAUUUUGGGAUACUUGUAUAUAUAUGUGUG